UUACUAUCGUCAGAUUGACAGAAAGCGGUGAACGGCUUGAAAUGCAUUUCUGAUGACUCUAUACCUGAAUCUCUUUUUGGUGGAAACCGAUUGCAGAUGAUAACUUUUCGAAGCUGGAUUAUUCUCAGUUUUGAACACAGACUGUUUUCUGAAAGACAGGAGGAUAUCCGCGAACAUAUAAAUGAUUUACCUCCGAAUGUUGAACUGGUUCCGUGCACAUGACUGGCAGAGCUGUGAGGAGGGUGUGAAUAUCAGCGGUGCGAAAGCUCUCCAUGUCAACUUCUGCCAAAUUGGCAUCCAGGUUUCGUGCAAGGUCAUCAUAGUAGCCCAGGUCAUCUCGAGUGUAGGAAGCAGAGAGUGAGGAAAGAACGCUAGGGUGAACAUGUAGUCCUCCA